UACGUAGGUGGCAAGCGUUGUCCGGAAUUAUUGGGCGUAAAGCGCGCGCAGGCGGUCCCUUAAGUCUGAUGUGAAAGCCCACGGCUCAACCGUGGAGGGUCAUUGGCAACUGGGGGACUUGAGUGCAGAAGAGGAAAGUGGAAUUCCAUGUGUAGCGGUGAAAUGCGUAGAGAUGUGGAGGAACACCAGUGGCGAAGGCGACUUUCUGGUCUGUAACUGACGCUGAGGCGCGAAAGCGUGGGGAGCAAACAGG
rnacentral:rRNA from 1 species